rnacentral:rRNA from 1 species
ACAUGCAGUCGAGCGGACAGAAGGGAGCUUGCUCCCGGAUGUUAGCGGCGGACGGGUGAGUAACACGUGGGUAACCUGCCUGUAAGACUGGGAUAACUCCGGGAAACCGGAGCUAAUACCGGAUAGUUCCUUGAACCGCAUGGUUCAAGGAUGAAAGACGGUUUCGGCUGUCACUUACAGAUGGACCCGCGGCGCAUUAGCUAGUUGGUGGGGUAAUGGCUCACCAAGGCGACGAUGCGUAGCCGACCUGAGAGGGUGAUCGGCCACACUGGGACUGAGACACGGCCCAGACUCCUACGGGAGGCAGCAGUAGGGAAUCUUCCGCAAUGGACGAAAGUCUGACGGAGCAACGCCGCGUGAGUGAUGAAGGUUUUCGGAUCGUAAAGCUCUGUUGUUAGGGAAGAACAAGUGCGAGAGUAACUGCUCGCACCUUGACGGUACCUAACCAGAAAGCCACGGCUAACUACGUGCCAGCAGCCGCGGUAAUACGUAGGUGGCAAGCGUUGUCCGGAAUUAUUGGGCGUAAAGGGCUCGCAGGCGGUUUCUUAAGUCUGAUGUGAAAGCCCCCGGCUCAACCGGGGAGGGUCAUUGGAAACUGGGAAACUUGAGUGCAGAAGAGGAGAGUGGAAUUCCACGUGUAGCGGUGAAAUGCGUAGAGAUGUGGAGGAACACCAGUGGCGAAGGCGACUCUCUGGUCUGUAACUGACGCUGAGGAGCGAAAGCGUGGGGAGCGAACAGGAUUAGAUACCCUGGUAGUCCACGCCGUAAACGAUGAGUGCUAAGUGUUAGGGGGUUUCCGCCCCUUAGUGCUGCAGCUAACGCAUUAAGCACUCCGCCUGGGGAGUACGGUCGCAAGACUGAAACUCAAAGGAAUUGACGGGGGCCCGCACAAGCGGUGGAGCAUGUGGUUUAAUUCGAAGCAACGCGAAGAACCUUACCAGGUCUUGACAUCCUCUGACAACCCUAGAGAUAGGGCUUUCCCUUCGGGGACAGAGUGACAGGUGGUGCAUGGUUGUCGUCAGCUCGUGUCGUGAGAUGUUGGGUUAAGUCCCGCAACGAG